ACGGAGGGUGCAAGCGUUGCUCGGAAUUACUGGGCGUAAAGGGCGUGUAGGCGGUUUUGUAUGUCUGGCGUGAAAGCCCCGGGCUCACCUCGGGAAGUGCGUUGGAAACUGCAAGACUAGAGUCCCGGAGAGGAAGGUGGAAUUCCAGGUGUAGCGGUGAAAUGCGUAGAUAUCUGGAAGAACACCGGUGGCGAAGGCGGCCUUCUGGACGGUGACUGACGCUGAGACGCGAAAGCGUGGGGAGCAAACAGGAUUAGAUACCCUGGUAGUCCACGCCAUAAACGAUGAGCACUAGGUGUCGCGGGUAUUGACCCCUGCGGUGCCGCCGCUAACGCAUUAAGUGCUCCGCCUGGGGACUACGGCCGCAAGGUUA
rnacentral:rRNA from 1 species